UGCUCAUGUAAUCAUUGUCUGCUUCUUGGGCUAGGAUUUGAUCCCUCAUAGAAUACAAAUUGCAAAUGUCUGCUGCAGAUUAGUGUGGUACGCCAGAUCUGUUCAUCAGCUACCCAUCACUGUGAGAAAACAUUUGAGAAAAUCGACUUAUAAAGACGGGGAAAACAUUCUCGGAUGUUUUCUGUAAAUGACAGUUCAGGAUAAAGACUGGAAGGAUAAAUCAGAAGACCUUGUGCUACAGUUUGGAUUCGGAGUGACCUCCACAGUCUGCUGUAAAAUAGUUCCGCAUUUGUAGAGAGGACCAGAAACCUUGAGGGGGCGGAGCCUGUGGAAGGUGGAGGCACAGCUCUUCCUGUUUCUUACCCUGCUUCCCAGGCACCACUAGGGGAGCCCUUGCUCCUCAGAAUGAUUCCCACAAAGACCAUUUCAUUCCCUGCUGCUGAAAACCAGCGAAGCCCAUUGAUCACAG
rnacentral:lncRNA from 1 species